UACGGGGGGGGCAAGCGUUGCUCGGAAUCACUGGGCGUAAAGGGUGCGUAGGCGGGUUUUUAAGUCAGAGGUGAAAUCCUGGAGCUCAACUCCAGAACUGCCUUUGAUACUGAAAGUCUUGAGUAUGGGAGAGGUGAGUGGAACUGCGAGUGUAGAGGUGAAAUUCGUAGAUAUUCGCAAGAACACCAGUGGCGAAGGCGGCUCACUGGCCCGGUACUGACGCUGAGGUGCGAAAGCGUGGGGAGCAACGGG
rnacentral:rRNA from 1 species